UGUACCUUGUUGACUGGAAGGAAACCCUUCCGGUCAGGGUGGUAUAUCAACCUCCUUGACCGGAAGGGUUUCCUUCCGGUCAGGGAGGUACA
rnacentral:miRNA from 1 species